UAAAAAAAUAAGUUUCUAAAAGUUCCUUUUGCUUCUGGCUCCCAGCAACCCUGGCUCUUUGAGGCUUAGCACAGAAGCAGGUGCUGGGCGUGGGCCUGGCAGGGGCAGGCUAGUGCAAGGGUGGCUGGCACAGGCACUCUCCAUCCUGGGCUGGUCGUGGGAGGACACUCAAAAAUUACCCGGGUUCAGCACUGGGUAUCUCCUCAGAGGACACAAGGACCACAGGUAUUCUUCCUCCCGUCUUUUGAUGGUACCACCCUAAACUCCAGGGCCUGGGCAAUGAGGUGGGUUUGGGUCUGAAGGAAACAGUGAAACCUUUCCAGCCCUAGGAAACUUUUGUUUUGAAAGAUGAAAAGGGAACCCUUAGGGGACUUCCAGGAUGACUCUCUGGAGCUUGAGUAUAGCCCUAGAUAAGGGUUGCUAGGGUUUUUCCAAAGCCAGGCUGCCUAUUGUUGUGUGCUUAUGACCCAUCCUUCUACAGUCCUUUUUCUUUUUCAUCCCCCCACCCCCCGUCUCUGCCCCACUCUUAUCUCACCCUCAGAUUGAGCAUGGCUGGAGAGUCCAGGCCGGGCUCUGUCCAUCCAGGCCAGAAGAGGCCACAGGACACGACCAUCUUCCGGGUGGAUGGAAGCAAGAGAACCCCUCUAUUCAUCAACCCGGUGCCUGCCAAGAGCCGCAGGGCCCACCUAAGUCCGAGGGUCAAGAAAACCAACAGUCCUUACAAGGCCUGCAGGAACAGCCAUCUGCUCCAGGGCCAUAGAAAGACAGUCCAGACCGAGGAGCUGGAUUCCAUCAGGAUGGAACUGAGUCAGAUCAAAGCCCAGGUGGACAGCCUAUUGGAGAGUCUGGAGUCCAUGGAGCAGCAGAGGCACCAGCACACAGGUGAAGAAUCAAGCAUUGGACCUGGAUAGCCCAGAGGUGGGGACCCUUCCAGGCUCCAGUGUUACUUCUUGGAUGGCUUGUUUCCUUAUUUUGUGUUUUUGGAAGACCGUUGGUCACACCCAUGCAACCUGAAGUAACCUUCCUGGGGCUAGGGCAAUGCAAGUGGAAGCAUGGUUCUGGCAACCCACCCAGAAAACCUCCCAGUGGUUGUGGGUUUAACGUUUGAGGUCUUUUCCAUGAGUCCAGGGGUGGGCAGGGUAGGAAAGUCCCACAGCCAGCAGUAUCUCACCAUCCUCAGUCUUGCAAGAGGACCCCGACAGGGCCCUGAACCCAAAGAGCACUAUUAGCCCUCACUGAAUGAAUGCAGACUGCUUAUUUUCCUUCCCCGUGCACCACUAAACCUGGUGUGGAAGCUCUUUUCUUCAGCCACAGUAGUAAACACACUUGUGUCCCUGCACUGACACUGAACUGUGAGAUUAUGUGUGUACCUACCUAACCAGCCCCUUUUGGUUAAAGCCACCACAAUGUGCCCUACAAAGCCAUAAGCUACUCUUCAAAAUAAGCAGAUAAGUUUUAUGUCAUUUUUUUUUAAUCUUGAUUUUCACUGGUAUACUAACUUCAGAUUUGCUCUACAAAGAGUCAUGCCAGAAGGGAAAAAAAUAAAAAUGUAUUUCUCCCUCCUGGUCAGGGGCUCCUAUGAGGUCCUCAUAAGAGGCUGAACAGACCUCUAGGAUAGUUACCUGUAACAGUCAUACACAGCUGCCUUCAACUCAGCCUCAGUGAAGAUCAGGAACCCUACACUCCUGGUCAGUAAAGCCAGCUCUGCCUAAGGAAUAGCCAGGCUGUAAAUGUGCCACAGUUUUUAGGAGUUCUUCCUCCUCGUAGUUCAUUGCUGCCCUAGCCAAGACUGGACAGGAGACACCAUAUAAUGAAGCCAGACCAGGACUCCACUUUUUUUUUUCUUUUUUCCUUUUUUGCAACAGGGUUUCUCUAUGUAGCUCUGGCUGCCCUAGAACUCAGAGAUCCACCUGCCUCUGCCCCACCAGUGCUGGGUUUUAAAGGUCUGCACUAUCACUUCUGCAAAGUCAUGGAAACCUCCAGUUAUGCUACCCUACUGGCCAAAGAAGGGAGUGACAGGGCUUCUUUCUAGAGCAUAAUCCUUUCCAGUUACCCAACUCCUAGACAUGAUCUUGUACUUUAAAGGAGAGGAUAGGUGUGCACCCAGAUUUCUGAGGCUAUUUAACUCUCCUGUCGUUUUGUCGGAGACAGGGUUUCUCUGUGUAGCUCUGGCUGUUCUGACAUCUCCUCGGUCUUUUCACCUCAGACACUGCUCCUAGGGCAGGAGGUUUCUCCUCUAAAGCACGUUACUCCUUUUCACUUACAGUGAGCUAAGAGACAGGAAAAUUUAAGAUAGUACUGACAAUACAGUCAAUACUGGCAAUACAGACUCAACACAUGCCCAGUUCAAAACGGCAUUGUUUCUAACUGUAGUACCAAGAAAAGCCACAAGAUGUAUUUUCAGGUAUAAAAAAGGUUUUUAUGUUUUAGUUCGGGUAGUGAGAAGGCAAAGUCCCUUGUCCAUCCUCUCAAAAGAAGCAGUUUAUCAUACACUGGAGCCAAUGGCUGGCCUGCACAGGGUCCAUCCCUUACAAGAACACAGCUCAUUUACCAGGUAAUCCAGCCGAAGUCCUUUCCAACUUGGGAGUAAGGCUGCUAAGGCCCUUUAAACCGUUCCAACACAGCUGUCCAGCGCUUCGGUUCAGUGUGCGCUGCCUCCCACUCUCGUUUCUCAGCUCGGCCAAGGCAGGCGACCAGCAGCCGGGCCGUUUGGGAAAGAAGGACAUCAGCAGUCAUCCGCAUCCUUGUUGCUCGGGUUUUCCAAUCAGGACGGGGCGGCGGCGCCCCUCCGGCGGGCAGCUCGCACCAAGCACUGCUGCAGCACUGGGUAGAGGCGCUGGCAGCCUUCCAGGCCCAGGCGCACCGCGUCCGUCCAACUCUCAGUCUGGCCGCCUUCCCCGCUGCCCAGCAACCCGGCCACCUGAUUGAGCACCG
ensembl:lincRNA